rnacentral:tRNA from 1 species
GCGCCCAUAGUUUAGUUGGCAGAACACGGGCUUCCCAAGCCUGAGACGCCGGAUAGUACCCGGUUGGACGCU